rfam:Oryza meridionalis cultivar OR44 (W2112) chromosome 6, whole genome shotgun sequence.
UUUAAAUGCAACCAUAAGUUUUCGUGCUUAAUUUUAAUCGUUCGUUUUUAAUUUUUUUAUAAUUAGUAUUUUUAUUGUCAUGAGAUAAUGAAACAUUAAUAGUACUUUAUGUGUAACUUAUGUUUUUAAAUUAUUUUAAAUAAGACGGACAAUCAAAAUUGGUCAUUGGAAAUCAUGGUUACACUUGAA